GACAGCGUACUGAACUUGUAGAAAAUUCAAAAGUUAGUAUGUGUACAGUUUGUCAUUCUUAUUUUUGUAGCAAGUUUUCUUUUCUGUGAAGUAAUAACCAUCUUUUUCUUAAAUAGGUUUUAAAUGCUAGUGAAAAGACAGCUGUAGACAACUUGUUUCAGAAAGACUCACUUGUUCGACAAAGCCAGCUGGUGGUAGAUUGGCUAGAGAGCAUUGCCAAGGAUGAAAUUGGGGACUUCUCUGAUAAUAUUGAGUUUUAUGCAAAAUCUGUAUAUUGGGAGAACACGCUACAUAUCCUAAAGCAGAGACAGUUAAGUACGUACAUUGGAAGUUCUCGGGCUCUGGUAACGGAGUUGG